rnacentral:lncRNA from 1 species
GCUUGGGAGAAGACCAAGGGGAGGCACUGGUGACGCCCUGAGAUUUCAGUCCCCUCUGUCCCCUCAGGCCCUGCACACAGGGGAGUCCCACAAGUGCUUUACUAAGUGAAGAGAAAAUGCCGAGACAGUCUGUACCAACCCGCGAGAGCCCUCCUGGAUUGGCGAGUCGUUCCUGAGUUUUAGGAGAAAAAGUCUUUGGCUGCCUCUGGGCAUGGGAAAUGACCCCCAGCCCCAUUUGCUCUUUCCAGCAGAGGACCUGGACGAUGUGGGACCCCCGGUGACUCUCAGAAGCUGCAGGCUGGCCACCCCUUUGCAGGAUGACUUCUCUGCUGCAGAAGCGUCGGAGGCAGGAAAUCUCAGCGACAACCCAGGACUGGCUUCCUGCCAGCCCCAGGAACACCCUGGGAGACAAGGGUUUCCCAGCUCAUCUGCUGUCCCUGGUGGCUGGGGAGCGAUGCCGUCCAGCUGGCCCCGGGAGCACACCACGCCCCAGGAGAGAGGCAAGAGUGUGUGUUUCCGGGGGCUGGGGAUGUGGCUCAAGCAGUAGCGCGCUCGCCUGGCAUGCGUGCGGCCCGGGUUCGAUCCUCAGCACCACAUACAAAGAUGUUGUGUCUGCCGAAAACUAAAAAAUAAAUAUUAAAAAAAAAAAAAGAGAGAGUGUGUGUUUCCGGCCUUCGGCUCCCGUGCUGACCCAGCCUGGGGCAUUUUUCUGAAGACCAGGCCUGGUGCUAGAAAUGAGGAGGCUUUGGAGGGAAAGAAAAGUGAGAAACCACAGGAAGGAGUCUAAGACUUGG